rnacentral:rRNA from 1 species
GACGAACGCUGGCGGCGUGCCUAACACAUGCAAGUCGAACGGAAAGGCCCUGCUUUUGUGGGGUGCUCGAGUGGCGAACGGGUGAGUAACACGUGAGUAACCUGCCCCUGACUGUGGGAUAACUUCAGGAAACUGGGGCUAAUACCGGCUAGGAGCUCCUGCUGCAUGGUGGGGGUUGGAAAGUUUCGGCGGUUGGGGAUGGACUCGCGGCUUAUCAGCUUGUUGGUGGGGUAGUGGCUUACCAAGGCUUUGACGGGUAGCCGGCCUGGGAGGGUGACCAGCCACAUUGGGACUGAGAUACGGCCCAGACGCCUACGGGAGGCAGCAGUGGAGAAUAUGGCACAAUAGGCGGGAGCCUGAUGCAGCAACGCCGCGUGCGGGAUGACGGCCUUCUGGUUGUGAACCGCUGUCGCCUGUGACGAAGCGUUAGUGACGGUAAUGGGUAAAGAAGCACCGGCUAACUACGUG